UGUCACUGUCGUGGAGAUCAAUGUCACAA
rnacentral:piRNA from 1 species